rnacentral:lncRNA from 8 species
AUGGCAUGGCUUCAGACUGCUUUCUCUGAGGACAUGAACACACCUGUAACCGAGCAUGAGAUCCGGGACAGUAUUCAGGAGAUUCGAACAAAAAUUAUGUCACAAGGGGACCAUCGAGAGGAGGAUGUCCAUAGGCUGGCAGAACUAACCCAGAAUCUAAAGGGACUGCAUUCACCACAGACCCUAAUACAUAUUGGUAAUAGUGACCAUAACACUGACCACAACACGGACCACAGUGUGACCAUAGAGAGAAGGAAAGACCUGCAGGACCAGCUGAGACAGGAGGUGGACGAACACAUCCAAGAGGGGAGAGUAAGUGUGGAGAGGAUGCAGGAGAAAGUGGGUACGAUCCAGCAGCUAAAGGAAGCCCUGAGAGAGGAGGAGAAACAGGAGAGCAGUGAGAAAUCUGGCCACUCAGAACAGGUGGAGUACAACAGAGCACAGGAGCGGAGGAGGAAGAUCAAAGAGGAUCAUGGGAGAAUGAUACAGGAGGAGGUGGAGAAGAUGGAAAGAGAGCUGGGGCAGGAGCAGACUGAUGGCCCCCAGAGGGAGCUGUUGGUCCUGGGCAGAGAGAGACAGGUCCUGAUUCUACAGAUGGAGGCCCUGCACACUGAGGCCUUGGAGGCUGAGAGAGACCUGGAGACACAGUACCACAGACACCAGCAUGAGCUGCACUCUCUUAGGGAGGAGAGUCUGCAGGUACGGCCCUUACCUGCACUGCCAUUGUUUGAACCAACCCUGCCUAUCUUACCCAUUUUUUGCCAGUGUCACACCUUUCACCACCAUACCAAGCUCUGUCUCCCCACCCUCAAUCCCGUAUCAGGUGUUCAGGGUUUUCCGCCAGGUGAGUGAGGAGCAGAGGAGGGUGUCAGAGGGCAGGUACAGGACUCUCCUGCUGGAGGCCAUACAGGAUGCAGUCUACCUGUCUUCUCAGAACCAACAGCUACAGGCAGACAACAAACAGCUCCGCAAAGGUGAGUUACACACCUGGAUAACACUUGUAUAAUAUUAACUAUAACAUAUUUCUGUCUCAGUAUAGGCAGUUAAGAUCCUACUUU